GACGAACGCUGGCGGCGUGCCUAAUACAUGCAAGUCGAGCGAACAGACGAGGCGCUUGCUCCUCUGACGUUAGCGGCGGACGGGUGAGUAACACGUGGAUAACCUACCUAUAAGACUGGGAUAACUUCGGGACACCGGAGCUAAUACCGGAUAAUCUAUUGAACCGCAUGGUUCAAUAGUGAAAGACGGUUUUGCUGUCUCUUAUAGAUGGUUCCGCGCCGCAUGAGCUAGUUGGUACGGUCACGGCGUACCACGGCGACGAUGCGUAGCCGACCUGAGGGAGGGAUCGGCCACAUGGGAGCUGAGACGCGGACCAGACUCCUACGGGAGGCAGCAGUAGGGAAUCGUCCGCAAUGGGCGAAAGCCUGACAGAGCAACGCCGCGCGAGUGAUGAAGGUCUUCGGAUCGUAAAACUCUGUUACUAGUGAUGAACAAAUGUGUAAGUAACUAUGCACGUCUUGACGGUACCGAGUCAGAAAGCCACGGCUAACUACGUG
rnacentral:rRNA from 1 species